rnacentral:rRNA from 1 species
CCCGCCAGGGAACUACAAGCGCUAGCUUAAAACCCAAGGGACUUGACGGUGUCUCAAACCCGCCUAGAGGAGCCUGUUCUAGAACCGAUAAUCCACGUUUAACCUCACCACCCCUUGUUCAUACCGCCUAUAUACCGCCGUCGCAAGCUCACCCUGUGAAGGUUUCAUAGUGAGCAAAAUGGGCACACCCCAAAACGUCAGGUCGAGGUGUAGCUUACGAGGUGGGAAGAAAUGGGCUACAUUUUCUGCACCAGAACAUUACGAACAACACUUUGAAACCAGUGUUUAAAGGUGGAUUUAGCAGUAAAAA